AAACCAUGCAUCGGGCAUUUUCUAAUUAACUCUUUGAAUCGCUCACAAGUUUCAUAUAAUGUUUCGUCCUUAGAUUGUCAAAGGACGUAAUAUCAUUCCUCAGUUU
rfam:Gossypium raimondii Chr05_contig_997, whole genome shotgun sequence.